UACGUAGGCGGUUUAUUAAGUCAGAUGUGAAAGCCCCGGGCUUAACCUGGGAACUGCAUUUGAUACUAGUAAACUAGAGUAUGGUAGAGGGGGUAGAAUUCCUAGUGUAGCGGUGAAAUGCGUAGAUAUUAGGAGGAAUACCAGUGGCGAAGGCGGCCCCCUGGACCAAUACUGACGCUGAGGUACGAAAGCGUGGGUAGCGAACA
rnacentral:rRNA from 1 species